rnacentral:lncRNA from 1 species
GAACUUUUUCAAAAAUGGUGGAUGUUAAAAAUAAUCUUCAUCAACAUCAGAAGUCAACAGAUUCACCUAUUAUCAGUACACAACAUCAAGUGGAACUUAUACUACCUGUCUAUCAAUAGUAUAAAUGUAAUUUUCAAUUAAUUAUCACCACCAACCCCAGCAUGGACUAAUCUCUCAUUCCAUCUUUUAGAGAACCUUGGAUAAAACUGAUUGGUGGUUUCAUGUAUAUGGCCUUUAUAUGAUCAAAUGUGUUGUUGUCCCUCCAAAAUAAGUCAAUGACCACACGUCCAACACAGAUUAUUCGUUUUGUCAUAGAACUUGACUCAUUCCCUCUUCUGGAUUGCUCAGGAAACCUGAUUGGCGUUAUCUGUCCAUUUAGGUAAUGACCGAGAAGAUGCGGCCUACAUGAAUAUCAUUUCGGCGGCCAUUAUCAUUCGACUACCCAACCGGCUUCUACUACCCUGGUCUCAUCACAGCACGGAGUUUUACCCUUAAGAUUUUUGGCUGUUCGCGAUGUGUGAUAUUUCGUUAGAUGAGAUGAUGUUGAUUUUGGCGAGAAAAAUAUUGCGUGAGUAACUAAUAUUUUUUCUUUAUAUUUGAUUCAAUCUAAAGAGGUCACACAAUUUUACUGCAUUGAUCGUCAUUAUACCCUUUUAUUAUCAUUUCCAUACUACAGAGCUAAAAAAUAAAACUAUC